rnacentral:lncRNA from 1 species
ACUCAAACUAUAAGUAUGACUUUGGUUGUCCUUAGUUUGCUUAAAGAUGGAAAAACAAGCUAACUCAUGUGCAUAUAUUUUCAAACUUGCCUUGCUCAUAGAUUGGUUGAGAAUGGACAAGCAAACUAAUUCAUGUGUAACUCUUUCUAAGUUUGUGUCCAAACAAAAAAAAAACAAUUUUGACUUUUCAAAGUAAUUAAUAAAAAACCUAACAAAUUAUCAAACACAAUUUCGUUGAAUUCCAAACUCGUAUUUGCCUUUUUUGUCAGCUUUCUUCACUUCAUUCUUGUUGUCGUUGCUCAUUUAUGAAUAAAAAUUUUCUAGGUAAUAUCAUAUUCUCUUCUCUCCAUUAUUGGUGCCACUUCUUCUUCAUAAACCAUUCUUCCGUAAUCAAUAAAACAAAAUGAGAUGAAUUAGUACAUCCUUUAAAUGACAAAUCGGGAUGUUAUUUUCUUUCUUUUUCCUUUUCUCUUUUUUUGUUCUCCUUUAUUUCUUUACUUCUUUUUCUCUCUUUUCUUUCUCUUCUUUAUCUUCUUUCUCUCUCUUUUCUUUCUCUUCUCUUUCCCUUAUUUCUUUUGCUUCAUUUUCUUAUGCUCUCUUUAGCUUCCGUCCU